CCUCCCGUGCGCAUGCGCCCGCCCCGUUCCCAUAGCAACCGGGCGGGCAGGGGCUGCGGGGCGGGGCGGGCUGUGUGCGGGUGGGUCACGCGAGUCCCUCUUCUUCCCCAAGAUGGCGGCCGGCCGCUCGGCCUCGUACCCAGCAUAGGCUUCGCCGCGGGCCUACUAGAGCCCACAGAGGUGUAGUUUCUCAUGGCUCAGAAUGACAGGCACAGGAAAAGCUCUCUCUAGACAUGGAGGUAACAAUAUCUGCAGGCCUGUAAUGGCCGGGCUGGAAGAGGUGUUGCAACUCUAAUUUGAGCUUUGCCUCCCCUUAUAGACGCUGGUAAGCCUAGAUCGUUCUCCAAAGGCACUUUCCUGAAUGUUUUCUAAGAAGCAGUUAAGGAAGGUUGCUCCUUUUGUAAAUUGUUCCAGCGUUUUCCUCCUGAUAGUGUGGCAGAGAAUCUUUCCCUUCCCUUGGAGCACAGCAGCCUGUUCAGCUGGUGCAGGGUGCAGGUAGGAUCGUGCUGCUGUGUUUGGGAUUUCCCCCAGCGUGCCAGUGCUGCGGGCACAGCAGGCAAGUGGUGCUGAGACCAGGCCGCAGAGUUCAGACUGGGUGUGGUGUGUGGCUGAAAUGGGCAGUCACUGGGACUGGCAGGCAUCUGGGAUUUCUGUAUGGUAUAGGGUUUCUAUGAAAACCUUAUUUCUGUGAUUUUUAAGAAGCCACACAGCAAUGGCUGAACUUUGUUUGGGUUCCUGAAUCUACAGAAGGAAAUCUUCAGGCUCCUACUAUGUACGCUUGUAAAAUGAGCCUUGAAGUAAAAGAGGAAGACUCUAGCAAGUGUCCUCAUGCUUAGAAACUGGCAAGCAGUAAAAACUGGGGUCUGGAAUCUGCCUUUAUGCUUUCCUGGUGGUCAGAAAGAGAAGUUACAGACCCAUCGGUCUCAUUCUGAGCAGAAGCAGGCACCGAGCGUAGUCUGUCAAGGAUAUCCACAGUGAGAACCACCAGCCUGUUAGCACCCUGUGGAUCCCACGCAGCCCGAGCCUACUCUCUGGACGUGACCCUCAUGGCCAUGCUCUCGUGGUGUUGCUGAAGACGUGCGCUGCUGAAGGAGUUGCAACAGGGCUUUUUAAAGUGGGCUGAGGAAGGCAUGCUCACUGGGGUGUAACGAGUCUAACUUGUCCAAGAGCAUGUUCCUGGGAGGCCCAGAGCCCAUAAAACUUUUGCAACAUGGGCCUGUGCAAGAAUUAAGUAGGUGUUGAUUGUGUUAAAAUACCAGAACAGAUAAAGAAGGGAUGUGAAGGA
rnacentral:lncRNA from 1 species